GACCAGACACAUGUCAACACCCGUUUGGUGGGUACAAAUUCCUAUAUGGCUCCAGAGUAUGUCAUGCGUGGGCAUUUAUCAGUGAAGGCAGAUAUAUUUAGCUUUGGCGUUGUGGUUCUGGAGCUUAUCAGUGGCCAGAGGAAUUCAACAUUUAGCCAAUCAGUUGAGGCUCAGAAUCUACUUGAUUGGGCAUAUAAGCUCCAUAAAAAGGAUAGGAGUCUGGAGUUGAUGGAUCCAACAUUAACGUCGUCAGCAGACAAUGGCCAAGUAAAAAUGUGCAUUCAUAUAGGGCUACUAUGCGUACAAGGCGAUCCACAGUUACGGCCAAAUAUGCGACGCGUAGUCAUCAUGUUAUCGAAGAAACCCGGCAAUCUAGAAGAACCAACUAGGCCUUUGGUAACCGGUUCCAGAUAUAGAAGAUCUCACCAGCCGCCAGGAAUGUCAUCCACUGCAGGAACGUUCAGUGAUUCUGAUUCUCGGACCUUUGAUUCGAGCUUAAACACUAAUACAGCUACAGCAUCUAGCUCAACUCGUACCAGCCCAAG
rnacentral:misc_RNA from 1 species